CCAGGGCACGGCAGAGUCCCCGUCGCGGUCCCUGUCCCGGUCCCAGUCCCAGUCCCAGUCCCGGUCCCUCCCGGCGGCGGGGCAGCCGGCUUGCCGGCGGUUUCGAGCAGCCCCGGGUGCGGGGGAGCUGCCGGGGGUCGGCCCCGUCCCGGCCCCUCGGGCCGCGCGCGGUGAGGGCUGUGCGCGCCCGGCGCGUGCCCCGCGGGCAGCUGCGGCUCCGCCGAGCCUGCACCGUGCUGCGGCCUCCCGCACUGCAGCCUCCCGCGGGGAGCACGUGUGCAGCUCUUUUUCAGUCCAUUUUCAGAGUAGUCGGGAAAUCCCACAGGAAAAACAACACUUUCUCGCGUGAGCAAAGCAAACCCCAGGUACGCCUCGACCGUGCCAGCUGACGGUGGUGACUCGUGGGGAGGGACCCCAGCAGUGCCCGGAGAGGGUCAGGCUCGUAAAGCUCCAGUUAUUUGCACCGACCCAGAGGAGCUCCUUGGCCUGAAGAGCUGCCCGACGGAGCGCAUGGAGCCUGGCACCAGCUGGGCUGGAAUGGCUCCCCGAGAGUCCAGCUGCACUCUGGACAAGAGAAAGGGAGAGCUGGGGCAGGCCAGAGCACGUUCUGAGGGUAAACUUGCAAUAGUUUAUAGGGUAGAGAUUGAACAUAUUUAGGUGUCAAGGUGAUCAGAUGUGGAGAGGUAGGGAAAUUUUCAGAGUUAAAGUCUGGGGCAAUCUGUAGCAGAGAGAAUGAAAAUGUUGUGUUAAAACAGAGGUAAUCAGGAGUGGGCUGGAAGGGAAAGUUGUGGGGGUGAGAUAGGAGAGAGUAUCCAUGGCAGGGAAUGACUGUUUGGAGGUGAAGCUGAGGGAAUCAGCAGUGGACAGGGAGGGAAAACAUUGGGGUAAACUCUGGGGCAGUGUGUAGCAGAGAGAAGGAAGAUUUUGGGUUCAACUGAGGCCGUCAGGAGUGGGCAGGAAAGGAAAGUUCUGGGGGUAAAACUCGAGAAGACCUCCGGGUUAGAAAAUGAACCUUUGGAGGUAAAAAAGAGUUACUGAGUGGUGUGCAGGUGGAGAAAACUGUGGGGGUUUAAAU